rnacentral:rRNA from 1 species
AGAACGAACGCUGGCGGCAUGCCUAAUACAUGCAAGUCGAACGAACACUUCGGUGUUAGUGGCGCACGGGUGCGUAACGCGUGGGAAUCUGCCCUUGGGUUCGGAAUAACAGUUGGAAACGACUGCUAAUACCGGAUGAUGACGAAAGUCCAAAGAUUUAUCGCCCAGGGAUGAGCCCGCGUAGGAUUAGCUAGUUGGUGAGGUAAAGGCUCACCAAGGCGACGAUCCUUAGCUGGUCUGAGAGGAUGAUCAGCCACACUGGGACUGAGACACGGCCCAGACUCCGUACGGGAGCAGCAGUAGGGAAUAUGGACAAGUGGGCGCAAGCCUGAUCCAGCAAUGCCGCGUGAGUGAUGAAGGUCCGUUAGGGUU